UCUGGCGCAAUUGGUAGCGCAACGGUCUCCAAAACCGUAGGUUGUGGGUUCGAGUCCCGC
rnacentral:tRNA from 1 species